GACCUCCACCCAACUAUUCUCGUUGGGGCCGGUCCUUGGAUCACCCUAGCACAAAGGAAAGCUCUAGGGAGAAGGAGAAGAAACAAAAAAAAAAAAUUAGUUCUUCCAUCCAUAAAUGGAUGAUGGAAGAUUGGUAAUAAAAGAAAGAUCUUUUCUCAAGUUGAAGAACCAUUAAUCCUUGACCUUCGGAUGGGGAUGAAGGACCAAGAAAAUUUGAAAGAGAGAAGGACGAGGCUCAGUCGGUAUGAGCCAACACAGCAAGCAAAGCUAAUAAUUAGCCGAACGGAGUUCAGAGCCAGCUGAGCAGGACAGAGAUUAUAAUAGUCAAGAAGAUUUUGGACAAACUUCGAAAUCAAAAACUGAAGACCGACCCGAAGGUCUUCAAUAUAGAAUGCAACCUGAUCCGGAGGAGGGGAGUUCACCCGACCAUCGAAGCCAGGAGUGAAGAGCUGAUAUUGCUCUGGGAUACGAUAUUGCUUCCGAAGCCAUUCAAUAUUGGGUC
rnacentral:lncRNA from 1 species